AUGGAGGCGGGGAGCGGUGGCCAUCUCGUGCCUCUCCUCGACGUCCACGACGGCGGGGGCGGCGGCCUGGACGCGUCCCUCCUGCGCCGCCUCUACGUCGGCCACUUCCUCGCCCGAUGGGGUGCACGUAUGUGGGAGUUCUCGGUGGGGCUGUACAUGAUCCGCAUCUGGCCGGGCUCGCUGCUUUUCGCGGCCGUCUACGGCGUCGUCGAGGCCUCCUCCGUGGUCGUCUUCGGCCCCAUGGUUGGCACCCUCGUCGAGAGGCUCACAUAUCUUCAGACCAUGGGAAUUUCCUCAUUGGACAUUGAUUCGAUGGGUAUCCUUCCCUCCAGGGACAACCCCCAACAAGAAAACUCCAAAAUAUUAUCAUGGGUGUAG
rnacentral:rRNA from 1 species